GGGUCGGUUCGGCCGGGUUUCACACAGGUGUUGCAUGGCUGUCGUCAGCUCGUGUCGUGAGAUGUUGGGUUAAGUCCCGCAACGAGCGCAACCCUCAUCCUUAGUUACCAUCAGGUAAUGCUGGGGACUUUAAGGAAACUGCCAGUGAUAAACUGGAGGAAGGUGGGGAUGAUGUCAAGUCAUCAUGGCCCUUAUGGAGUGGGCUACACACGUGCUACAAUGGUGGCUACAAUGGGCUGCAAAGUCGCGAGGCUAAGCUAAUCCCUUAAAAGCCAUCUCAGUUCGGAUUGUACUCUGCAACUCGAGUGCAUGAAGUUGGAAUCGCUAGUAAUCGUGGAUCAGCACGCCACGGUGAAUACGUUCUCGGGUCUUGUACACACUGCCCGUCACGCCAUGG
rnacentral:rRNA from 3 species